AAAGAUGAGCAAAGAAAAGUUUAAUACUUGUACCUUUUGUAUAAUGGUUCAACAAGGUUAGGUGAAUAAAGUUUUAUAGCCCGGAGCUGAGCGAGCUAGUGUGCUCUGCUUUAAGAGAAAGAGUUUUUACUGUUGCAGUAGUAAGGCUUGAGGGCACAUUAGGUGUGAAAUGCUUAUCGCGCUUAGGGAUAGCUGGUUCUUCUAGAAAUUGGUGUUAGCUAAGUUCAUAUUUUUAUUAUCAUGGUGUUAUUUUAUAGAAUAAGUUGGAUCAGGAGAAUGAUAAUGUGAUUGUUAGACAGGAGGGGAUAAGCUUUCCUGUUGAAUAAGAAAAAGCUUUGGUUACUAACUAAGGGCAAAUUUUUGUAAAUAUGUUUGUAAUAGAUAAAAAGUAGGAUUAAUAGCAUCUGUCUUGAGAGAGGGCGUUAAAGCUCAUUUAUUUAAAUAAACAUAAAUAAUUUUUGUGGAGUGUUCUAAGUUGUAAAUUAUUAUAGAAGAAUUCCAUAUCAGAUUGGAAGCUAUAAUGUUGGAAUUAGUAGAGGAAUAAAAAUACUUUUUGUGUAUUAAUCAAUCCUAACAUUGGAAUGGAACAAUGGCUUGUAUCGGGAAAUUGGUUUGCAGGGGAUUGUCUGCUAACACAAGUAGUAUUAAAAUUAGUAGAAUUAAGGGAAAGGAACUCGGCAAAAAAGUAUUUCGCCUGUUUACCAAAAACAUCGCCUUUUGAAAAGAUUCUAAGGUAUAAAAGGUCUUGCCUGCCCAGUGACUUUAGUUAAACGGCCGCGGUAUUUUGACCGUGCAAAGGUAGCAUAAUCAUUUGCCUCUUAAAUGGGGGCUGGUAUGAAUGGUAAGACGGAAAUAACGCUGUCUCUCUCUUAUAUCUUGAAAUUAAUAUUCUUGUGAAGAAGCAGGAAUAAGGUCGCAGGACGAGAAGACCCUAUCGAGCUUUUAGUAGAAGAAAGGCGUAGUUAUUUAUUUAUGUUUCUGUUGCUAAUUAGCUGCUAGAAGUGGCAUUAAAAUUUACUGCAGAAGUGGAGAUAUUGUGCGUUUUAUGCUUAGGUUGGGGCAACCGCGGAGAAAAUUUACCCUCCGUUAGUUUUACUGGAAAAAUUUGUUUUUUCAGUACAAGCUUUGUGUAAUAAAUGACCCAUCUUAAUGGUGAUCAAAAGAAUAAGUUACCGUAGGGAUAACAGCGUAAUUUUUUUGGAGAGUUCAUAUUGAUAAAAAAGUUUGCGACCUCGAUGUUGGAUCGGGAUUUCCUGGGGAUGCAGCAGUUCCUAAGG
rnacentral:rRNA from 1 species